CCACCUCCCACUCAGGACGGGGGGACGACGUCUCUUUCUUCUACGGCUCGAUAGCUGUUUUCGGGGUUUUUUACUCGAUUUCUCUCUGGGAGGUGGCGCUGUUCCUCUCGGAGAGAUAGGGAAACGAUUUUCGUUUGGGGGGUUCCAUUGUUCUUUUAUGCGAUUUGCGGGGGUUUUCGUCACGGUAUUCAAAUUGUGACCGUCUUGUAGAGGGGAUGCUAUUACAUUGCAACGUCGUGAUCCCGCUUUGAUUGAGAUAAUGGGGUCGGUGUGAUUUAAAUGUAAAAAAGAAUCGCUUAUUUUUAGUUAGUUUUUCUCCCGACAGGUGGUUCUGACGCCAAUCCAUAAUUCAAGGCCGACGAACUUCAACGCGGCCUUGGAUUGGAUUGAAAAACAAAACAAAAACAAAACAAGGCUGGCUGCUAAUCAAUCAACUGAAUCAAGGCAAGUUUAAAGAAAAAUGUAGUCAAAUUUUAAAUAAUGUAGGUAGUAUAAUCCUUUGAUUGUAAAUUAUUUUCCCUACUACGUAAAGCUGGUACAAUAGCCGUACGGUUUUUUAUAUACCGAAGAGCAUUCAUUCAUCAUGGAGUCCAGGAUGAUUUACGAUGUGAUGGUAGAACAAUGCUGGAUUACCACCCUAUAAUUCUUGAAACUACAUUAGUUUCCAAUGCCAGUGGAUCGGCAAGGCUGAGACUUGCAAACUCAACAACAUCUGGAAAAUGAAAUUUGCAAAUUCCUACAAAGAUCCUAUGCUUCAGCUGAUGUGAUAUUUCCACCAGUCCUGAUGUAUCAACACUGGUGCAGAGUCUACGACAAGCCUUGGCCCUUGAAGCUAAAUUCCAACCAAAGCUUCAACUUCUGUCAACACUCAACAGCCAGCAAUACAGGAGAAAGCGGUGAAAUUAUGUGUGCAAUGAGGGAUGGAGCUGCUCAUGUUCUUCGCUGCAUGAAAGUCUGGUAUGAUCUUCCUUAUGCAGUUCUUCUGGAUGCUCUCAACAUGAUGGACUGGUUCAUGAGCCGCAUGAAAGCACUCCUAAACACCUCUCAUGCAUAGCAAUCAGCUCCUUCCAUCUAGCAGCUUGCCAAUGGGUGGAGAGGAUUAAACAGAACAACAUUGAGGUAUCUUCCAUUCAGAGUCCAUUGUAGAUUGUUCCUGAACCUCAAUAUCUGGUAACGAUAUCUUAAUGUAAAUGUACCGCCGGAGACAUCAACCGGAUGGAAAAAAUUGUCUAAGCCAAGUUAGCUUGUCUACCCCAAGAAGAACCGGUCACGACCUUAAAAUUCCUCAACCUGUAUCACUCACUUCUCUCGACGACUUUACCUGCCGCUCUUCAGCAAGACCUUCUUAUUCUUUCAUGCAAGCAGGAGACCAUUUGCUGUGACGCAAAAUAAUGCUGCCUUUCCCUCAUCUCUUUUGGCUUUCGUCCUACUGUUUGUCGAAAUGAAGUGUCACCAGCCGGCCAUCGAGGUUAUUAUCAGAGACGUUUUACUAGAACUUCAGCGACUUGUUCAGGUCAAAGAUGACUAGUUGAAGGAGUGUAUAAGAAUGGUCACUUCGGAAAUGGCACCUUACGAUGGCUAUGCCCAAAGCAAUCCGUCUCAUCGUCAACGACUUACCUGGAAGUUGUCCUUUUUCUACUAUUUCUUUGCCUUCUAAACCAUUUAUAAUAAGUUUUGCCUUUAGUAAAGCAAAAUGCCUAGCUUUUUCUAGUCCUAUACCACUUACUUGUUGAGCCUGUGUAAAUUCGGGUCUCAGUGAUAUAUGAUUACCACUCUUAACAAGAAAACUAUAUAUUUCUUUACUCACUACAUCAGAAGUUUCUCCAAGUGUGCGGUCGAAAAUUUUAGUCGAAAUUCCCUUCAUAGAUAAGAGAAAUAAAGCCGUAAUUUCAUCCUAUAAACGUUCAAUUAAUCUAUCAAAAAUCUUAUCUUGUUUAGGGUGGUUAUUAACCUUAUAUGUUAUUUAUAUAAAUUUAAAUACUAUAAAUAAUGGUUCGAAAUUAACUGAAAAAAGCAACAAGACUUCUGUAUAAUUUUACAUAAUUUCGAUGUUACGUCAUGACGUCAUACGUCGAGUAUGACUUGAUAACCACCCGAAUCAGUAAGUAUCGGCUUUGACCUAUUCAUGAACUUAUGUAGCCCACAAUUAUAAAAGCAAAAUCUCCUGUCCUAUUUACAAUAAAUGCUUGAAUUGCCGCUUUA